UGAGGAACAUGACCUUCGGCGGGGGAUAGCCGGCCCAACGGCCGGGUAAUACCGCGUACGACCACAUGGGGACAUCCCUGAGUGGUGAAAGCAGCAAUGCGCCGAUGGAGUGCCUCGCGGCCUAUCAGCUAGUUGGUGAGGUAACGGCUCACCAAGGCAACGACGGGUAGCUGGUCUGAGAGGAUGGCCAGCCACAUUGGGACUGAGACACGGCCAGACUNUACCGGGAG
rnacentral:rRNA from 1 species